CCCUUAGAGUUUGAUCCUGGCUCAGGAUGAACGCUGGCGGCGUGCUUAACACAUGCAAGUCGAGCGAAGCAAUUUAAGUGAAGUUUUCGGAUGGAUCUUAGAUUGACUGAGCGGCGGACGGGUGAGUAACGCGUGGAUAACCUGCCUCACACAGGGGGAUAACAGUUAGAAAUGACUGCUAAUACCGCAUAAGCGCACGGUACCGCAUGGUACAGUGUGAAAAACUCCGGUGGUGUGAGAUGGAUCCGCGUCUGAUUAGGUAGUUGGUGAGGUAACGGCCCACCAAGCCGACGAUCAGUAGCCGACCUGAGAGGGCGACCGGCCACAUUGGGACUGAGACACGGCCCAAACUCCUACGGGAGGCAGCAGUGGGGAAUAUUGCACAAUGGGCGAAAGCCUGAUGCAGCAACGCCGCGUGAGUGAAGAAGUAUCUCGGUAUGUAAAGCUCUAUCAGCAGGGAAGAAAAUG
rnacentral:rRNA from 1 species